GUUCCCGUAGCUCAAUGUUGAGAGCAUCCGCCUUUUAAGCGGACGGUUGCAGGCGAGAAUCCUGCCGGGAGCACCA
rnacentral:tRNA from 1 species